CAGGAGACAGAAAAGAACUUACUUCUAGCACCUGAAUUUCUCAACUAGCUUUGGUGCAGACCUUCUCAAAGCGUGGUCUACACAGAAUCAAGGUUAGGGUCCGGAAUGUGCAAUUUCAUAGGCAGUACCCGGGAUUCUUAUGCACACUAAGUUCAAGAAGCCCUAGUUUAGAAAGAAGACACGUUGGGUGCAAAGUGGAGGGCAGACUUCCGGGAGGAAAAAUAGGAGUAAAGGGAUGGGAAACCAGCAUAUCCCUGCCUCUGAGAAACCAGAGCUGUUCUUCUCUGGUCUGCACCACACCUGUGCCACUGGGGUAACCACUAGUGGUUAGCCUUCCUAUUUUCCGGAGUCACUGAGACACACCACUUCAAGCACACACAAGCUUGGCCCCACCACUCACACACUCUGGUUCGUUUAGACCACUGGAGAGGAGUCCAUCCUGGGGCCCCUGCCUCACAGUCUGUUUCCGGUUUCCUGUUUUCCCCUGUUUCCUCACGGUCAGAGAGAGAAGAAUUGAAUAUUUUCCCAUAACGGAGCAAACACACUCUCUCCCCAGCAUUAUAGAGAAGAGUCUGGAAGUGUGGGGUUGGAACUUAGAGACCAGGCUUUGUCAGGACCUGGGCAGUCCCUCUGGGAGCGGCCUCGAGAUUCUGAACACAGCUUGGCUAAAGGGUGAAUAUGUCUGUGAUGAAACCAACUUGGAUAAACAUCUUUUAAGUCCCGAGAAGCAGCGCUCCGAGAAUGGGUCAGACCUCCACCGUUUGUGACUGGGAAUGCGGCUGUACUUCUGGUGUUGUCUCUGCUGCUUUCCCUUGUGUCUGUUCUAGGCCUUCAGUAAAUCUUCCCGGUUGUGCAGGGGAGAAUUUUGGGGGAGCCACUGUGCAGAUGGAUUCCAGCCCAUUUGCCUACUUCGUGGGAAGUCUAGACUCAAUCCUCUAAUCCACCCUCCAGAGCCAAAGAAGAGUCACUGUCUUUGCCUCACUUCCUUAACCCCCAAACUCUAGCUUCCUCUGGGAUGGAGGGUAGCAGAUGGUACACAGCUGUGGGACACAUCUGGUUUUGCAGGGAUCAGAGGAAGGCACAAAGGCCAGUUGAAAUCCCAAGGGCUACCCUAGAGGCAUGUCUCCAAAGUUGGGGUGGUGCCCCUGACACUCUACCCAGAUCCCAUCUUGGACGGGCUUCAUGUUUUCCCUUAGU